rnacentral:rRNA from 1 species
UACGUAGGUGGCGAGCGUUGUCCGGAAUUAUUGGGCGUAAAGAGCGCGUAGGCGGAUUGCCAGGUCCGACGUGAAACCCCGGGGCUCAACUCCGGACGUGCAUCGGAAACCGGCUUGCUAGAGUCUGGGAGAGGGGAGUGGAAUUCCUGGUGUAGCGGUGAAAUGCGCAGAUAUCAGGAGGAAUACCGGUAGCGAAGGCUGCUCCCUGGAACAGUACUGACGCUGAGGCGCGAAAGCUAGGGGAGCGAACAGG